UACGUAGGUGGCAAGCGUUACUCGGAAUCACUAGGCGUAAAGCGCAGGUAGGAGGUUUGGUAAGUCUGUUGUGAAAGCUCCCGGCUUAACUGGGAGAGGUCAACGGAAACUGCCAAGCUAGAGUGUGGUAGAGGAAGAUGGAAUUCCCGGUGUAGCGGUGAAAUGCGUAGAUAUCGGGAGGAAUACCUAUGGCGAAAGCAGUCUUCUGGACCAUCACUGACUCUGAUCUGCGAAAGCUAGGGGAGCAAACAGG
rnacentral:rRNA from 1 species